AUUGAACGCUGGCGGCAGGCCUAACACAUGCAAGUCGAGCGGAUGAAGGGAGCUUGCUCCUGGAUUCAGCGGCGGACGGGUGAGUAAUGCCUAGGAAUCUGCCUGGUAGUGGGGGAUAACGUCCGGAAACGGGCGCUAAUACCGCAUACGUCCUGAGGGAGAAAGUGGAGGAUCUUCGGACCUCACGCUAUCAGAUGAGCCUAGGUCGGAUUAGCUAGUUGGUGGGGUAAAGGCCUACCAAGGCGACGAUCCGUAACUGGUCUGAGAGGAUGAUCAGUCACACUGGAACUGAGACACGGUCCAGACUCCUGCGGGAGGCAGCAGUGGGGAAUAUUGGACAAUGGGCGAAAGCCUGAUCCAGCCAUGCCGCGUGUGUGAAGAAGGUCUUCGGAUUGUAAAGCACUUUAAGUUGGGAGGAAGGGCAGUAAGUUAAUACCUUGCUGUUUUGACGUUACCAACAGAAUAAGCACCGGCUAACUUCGUG
rnacentral:rRNA from 1 species